ACCUUUUACAGAGGGAUAGCCCAGAGAAAUUUGGAUUAAUACCUCAUAGUAUAAUUGAAUGGCAUCAUUUAAUUAUUAAAGUCACAACGGUAAAAGAUGAGCAUGCGUCCCAUUAGCUAGUUGGUAAGGUAACGGCUUACCAAGGCUACGAUGGGUAGGGGUCCUGAGAGGGAGAUCCCCCACACUGGUACUGAGACACGGACCAGACUCCUACGGGAGGCAGCAGUGAGGAAUAUUGGACAAUGGGCGCAAGCCUGAUCCAGCCAUGCCGCGUGCAGGAUGACGGUCCUAUGGAUUGUAAACUGCUUUUGUACAGGAAGAAACACUGGUUCGUGAACCAGCUUGACGGUACUGUAAGAAUAAGGAUCGGCUAACUCCGUGCCAGCAGCCGCGGUAAUACGGAGGAUCCAAGCGUUAUCCGGAAUCAUUGGGUUUAAAGGGUCCGUAGGCGGUUUGGUAAGUCAGUGGUGAAAGCCCAUCGCUCAACGGUGGAACGGCCAUUGAUACUGCUAGACUUGAAUUAUUAGGAAGUAACUAGAAUAUGUAGUGUAGCGGUGAAAUGCUUAGAGAUUACAUGGAAUACCAAUUGCGAAGGCAGGUUACUACUAAUAUAUUGACGCUGAUGGACGAAA
rnacentral:rRNA from 1 species